CAUGAUAGUCCAUAGGACCACAUCACACUUGAGUUGUAGUAGAUGAUAACGCAUAUUCGGGGUAUCCAUAAGAUAGUCUACAGCAUAGCAACAGAGAUCGGCAAAGAGUGCUCAUAUGCAGUCCACGAUCGAUCCAAAAGUUCAAAUAUUUGAUACAAAAUCCCAUAGUAGGUGGCACUUGAAAAUGAUAAAUAUAUUCAGCCAAAGCAGCAGAGUUUUCCGGAAACCUAGUUUAUGCGACUCAACACUUCACACGGCAAAGCAAGCAAAUCGAUUAGGCACACAGACACCACGAAUGCAUGGAUCGGCUUUCUAACACAAGUAGGACUAAUUUAGGUAAGCAAGGUGAACCUAAACAGGAUUGUUGCCAUCUUGCCAUACACAUACAACACAUGGAUUUGUAAGAUGCAAUAGUUGGAAUUUGACCAAAUUUAACUACCAUACAUAGUCUACAGCAAAGCAAAAAGGAUCGAAAAGGAGUGUUCAUAUCACAGUCCACGAUUGAUUCAAAAGUUUGAAUGUUUUGAUACAAAUUCUCAUAGUAGGUGGAACUUGCAAACGAUAAUAUAUUCAGCCGAAGCAGCAGAGUUUUCCAGAAACCUACCUUCUAUAACUAGUGCAUACAAAAAUUUCUUCGACCACUCAAACAAGCAAAUUGAUUAGGCAAUAUACACCAGGAAUGCAUUGAUCAGCUUGGACUGAUUUAGGCAAGCAAGGUGACUGAUUUAGGCAAGCAAGGUGACUGAUUUAGGCAAGCAAGGUGAAGAUAAACAAGGGUGUCGCCUUACACAAACCACACAUGGAUGAGCAACAGAUGAUAGCUGGAAAUUUAACCAAUCGCACCACCACAGAUCAGUACGCCUGAAUUUAACCACCAACCACCAAACAGUGCUCUGCUCUUCCCCCCACCACCAGCGAGGCCAAAGCAAACCAGUACUAAUAUACAGUAUAAUACACUCCCGAACUUGUACUAUUUUCCCAGCACUGCUCUUUUCCCCGCUAGUAUUUCGGUACAGAGGUUGUACUCAUAAACUAACAGGAGCUACAGAUCCAAUAAUCAAAGUUCUCCCAAGCUAAAAGCGUAAGGCAAUCGCUCCCUCUCUCUCUCUCUCCUGAAGACGGCCAGAACGACGACCGGAGAUUAUCUUACCUUGUGGAGCGGCUCCUCGCUUGCUCCGUCCAUGCAGCGUAACAAUUCAUCCCCCCCGGCCUCUCUGUGCCGCCCGCCCGUCGG
rnacentral:lncRNA from 1 species